GGGGAUGUGGCUAAGUGGUAGAGUACUUGCCUAGCAAAUAAGAGGCCCCAGGUUUAAUCCCUAGUAAUGCCA
rnacentral:tRNA from 1 species